UACGUAGGGUGCGAGCGUUGUCCGGAAUUAUUGGGCGUAAAGAGCUUGUAGGCGGUUUGUCGCGUCUGCUGUGAAAUCCCAGGGCUUAACCCCGGGUCUGCAUUCGAUACGGGCUGGCUAGAGUGUGGUAGGGGAGAUCGGAGUUCCUGGUGUAGCGGUGAAAUGCGCAGAUAUCAGGAGGAACACCGGUGGCGAAGGCGGAUCUCUGGGCCAUUACUGACGCUGAGGAGCGAAAGCGUGGGGAGCGAACAGG
rnacentral:rRNA from 1 species